AGAGUUUGAUCAUGGCUCAGGACGAACGCUGGCGGCGCGCCUAACACAUGCAAGUCGAACGGAGUUGUGUUGAAAGCUUGCUGGAUAUACAACUUAGUGGCGGACGGGUGAGUAACACGUGAGUAACCUGCCUUUCAGAGUGGAAUAACGUUUGGAAACGGACGCUAAUACCGCAUGAUAUAGUUUCCGCGG
rnacentral:rRNA from 1 species